GGAAGGGAAGUGAAGGGAAGGGUGGGGCAGUUGAUUUCUCACCUCCAGCAUCUGCACCACCCCUUCAUGCUCCCGCUUGGCAAAUAACUGAGCCUGGGGUAGGACACAGGAGACAAGCACACCGCCUGUGCCAAAUCCUGGACCGGAUAUUGCCUUGGUGGUCUGGAACUGAAGACCCUUGUGCCUGAGAGUCCAGCGAAGCCUCUGGUUUCUGGUUUUAGGACCAUUAUCAUGUCAGAAUGAGCUGGGCUAGAGUUUGGACUGUAACAGGCUAACUGAAAAUAAAGUCUUACUUUAUGUUG